AUGAGAACCAAUCCCACUACUUCUCCUCCCGGGGUUUCCACAAUUGAAGAAAAAAGUACAGGUCGUAUCGAUCAAAUUAUUGGACCUGUGCUGGAUGUCACUUUUCCCCCAGGCAAGUUACCUUAUAUUUAUAACGCUUUGGUAGUCCAGAGUAGAGACACUACCGAUAAGCAAAUUAAUUUGACUUGUGAGGUACAACAAUUAUUAGGAAAUAAUCGAGUUAGAGGUGUAGCUAUGAGUGCUACAGACGGGUUGAUGAGAGGACUGGAAGUGAUUGACACAGGAGCUCCUCUCAGUGUUCCGGUCAGUGGUCUACUCUCGGACGAAUUUUCAACGUUGUUGGGGAGCCUGUUGACAAUUUGGGUCCUGUAG
rnacentral:rRNA from 1 species